GACGAACGCUGGCGACGUGCUUAACACAUGCAAGUCGAACGGUAAGGCCCUUCGGGGUACACGAGUGGCGAACGGGUGAGUAACACGUGGGUGAUCUGCCCUGCACUUCGGGAUAAGCCUGGGAAACUGGGUCUAAUACCGGAUAGGACCCUGGGAUGCAUGUCCUGGGGUGGAAAGCUUUUGCGGUGUGGGAUGGGCCCGCGGCCUAUCAGCUUGUUGGGGGGGUGAUGGCCUACCAAGGCGACGACGGGUAGCCGGGCUGAGAGGGUGACCGGCCACGCUGGGACUGGGAUACGGCCCAGACUCCUACGGGAGGCAGCAGUGGGGAAUAGUGCACAAUGGGGGCAAGCCUGAUGCAGCGACGCCGCGUGAGGGAUGACGGCCUUCGGGUUGUAAACCUCUUUCAGCACCGACGAAGCGCAAGUGACGGUAGGUGCAGAAGAAGGACCGGCCAACUACGUGCCAGCCGCCGCCGUAA
rnacentral:rRNA from 1 species